rnacentral:rRNA from 1 species
UACAGAGGGUGCGAGCGUUAAUCGGAAUUACUGGGCGUAAAGCGUGCGUAGACGGUAGCGUAAGUCAGAUGUGAAAGCCCCGGGCUCAACCUGGGAAUUGCAUUUGAGACUGCUCUGCUCGGGUGCGGAAGAGGGAAGCGGAAUUUCCGGUGUAGCGGUGAAAUGCGUAGAUAUCGGAAGGAACACCAGUGGCGAAAGCGGCUUCCUGGUCCGACACCGACGUUCAGGCACGAAAGCGUGGGGAUCAAACAGG